GCCGCAGCUCCUACACUCCUGCUCGUGCUCUAAACUGAAGUGCUGGGUUAAUUUUAGAAGACAUGGCGGAUUCAUGCUAUUCAGCCUCGGAAGGGUGCCAAACCACCUUCUUCUGCUGAACAGAAAUUAAGUAAAAAGGAUUCCUCCACCACAAUUUUCGACUGCAAGAAGUCUCCCAACCAUCUUAUUGUUGAUGAAGUUAUCGAUGAUGAUAAUUCCUUGGUUGCCAUGCACCCUAAUGCAAUGGACAAGCUUCAGCUUUUCUGAGGAGAUACGGUUUUAAUAGAGGGUAAGAAGAGAAGGGACACAGUUUGCAUUGUUCUUGCCGAUGAACAAUGUGAAGGACAAAAAUUUAGAAUGAUCAAGGUUGUAAGAUCCAAUCUAAGAGUACACCUUGGGAUGUUGUGUCUGUUCUUCAUCACUGUCCUUAUGUGAAGCAUGGGAACCCAGUUCAUAUCCUUCCAAUUGAUGAUACAAGUGAUGGUUUAACUAUUGACCUAGGUGUAUUUCUGCAGUCAUACUUUCUGGAAGAUUACCCACCUGUAAGAAAAGGUGACAUUUUCAUAGCUAAAGGUGCAAUAAGAACUGCUGAAUUUAAAGUAAUCGACACAGACCCUCGUGUUGUUGUACCAGAUACAAUUGUAAACUGGGAAGGAGAGCCUAUUACAGCCGUUACAAAUAUGCUACAGAGAAAGUAUUGUAGCCUGGUGAAUAUCAUGUUGUUGCACCAGAUACUAUUGUAACCUGGUGAAUAUGUCAGUGUGACUGCAAAAUACGCUAUUAGAGGAAGUAUUGAGAAGCUGGGGAUGUCAGGAUCCUGGGAGGGAGAAAAAGAAGAGAGAAAACCCUGAAAAAAUUGAAGAAGAUGAAAUUGAUGAUGUUGCUGAUAUAAAAGGCAGCACUUUGAGGAAUCAAUAAAACAUGCUCGCUGAAGUGUUAGCAAUGAGAUAUCAGGAAGUACCAGCUCUUUCCUCAGAUAUAGCAGCAAUCCCAUGUAUUUGGUUCUGGAUUUCGUUUUCCAGAAAGAAGAGAAAAUGCCACCAGAGGAGCAUCAGACCCAUUUUCUUCUGCCGCAGCUGCUGGUGAUGAUGAUGAUCUGUACAGCUGAAUUGAAACCAUUUCAUUUUGAAGCGCUUGUUACACAUGGGAUGGGGUUCUAAAGAACGGAGUUGUUGGCCAUUAAACCUUGCCCUGGAAAAUGUGAUGUUAACAUCAAAAGGUAAGGAAUCAGGAGAUUAGAAAGUUGUGUGUUUUUUUAGGACCAAACAUAUCCUGGUAAGCAGAAAAGGGUUAUUAUUGUUUUCAUGGUGAAAAAAAUUACAGAGCAGAAAACCUGAGGAUUCACCUUCUGAUUCUAUAAAUUGCUGAACCAAUGGUCAUAAUGACAAAGCUGUGCUGAAAGUGAUCCAUCAUUAGUCCGUCCUUUGCCCCUAUCUUUCGACUUGAUGACCUAUGGGGUGAUGUGGGAUCGCCUCCCCUGCUGCAUGUGGUGGACCUUUUUACCUUUAGAUUUCCUCACUAACAAAAUACAGCAUUCAUCAUGUCCUUGCGGGAUAUGUUGGAAAUCUUUGAUGUGCCUUUUCUUCUUCCCAGUUUCCCAAAAUAUAUGGUAAAUGGUUUAUUUUCCUUCUCUUAAUUCUUUAUUGGUACAAAUCAGAAUACAUGGUUUAUUUCCAGGAGGUCUUGUUCUUUGUUUCGCGAAUCAGGCCCAUCGCACCAGAUGAUAAUCUCCCAUGAGGGCUCCAUUAGGUUGUAAAAGUCUCUGGAUUUUUUUGUCAGCUUUACCACAUGCGGCAGGUAAAUGCAAAUCAGGUGCUGAAGUAGCUAUUUAACUUGAUUUCUCUUGCUGCAUUAGGAAAUAGUAGUAGUAAUGUUGAUUUUACUGUCAGAAAACUUCCUGGAAGUUUUUCAUUUGCAUCUGAUUAGAAAAGGAAGAGACGAAAGCUGAUGCAUGGGUGUGAAUUUGCCAACUGCUGCUAAUUAAACUUAACCAAGACUGACAUGAUCAAAAGGUUGCUUGGAAUUUGGAUGCAUAACCAGUCUCCGAAGCUGAUGAGUAAGUUAUUUGAGAAAGACAGACAGCCAGCCAGCCAACCAAACGUACUGAUCGAAAGUGCAUGCAAAUUUGUAGAUUGAUUUAACAUUUGAAGGGAUGUCUCGUUUUGCUUGUAGUUGUAGCUAGAAGCUUUGUUUUUUCACAUGAUCACAUCCCCAAUAUUCCAUUAUCAAAA